AUGGUAUUUUUCUGUGAACUUUCAUCUACAUGUGUUCAGGAUAUGGCUGUUCAUUGUCUCCAAACAUUUUUCUCUGAACAUUUUUGUGCGCCUAGUCAUUUUAAGGCUACAAGUGUGCUUCUCUCUGAAAACUUCUGGGGACCAAAAGGUGGGUGGUGUAGCAGUGGUGAAGCGGCCACCGGCGAGGACCAAUGGCACUGUAAGAUGCACUUCAAAGUGUCGGUGUUAAUGCCUCAAAAGAAACUGUUUUGUGUAGUUUUGUAUUUCAGUGCAAAGCACACUCAACUCCUUGAAACCACCAUUGCCCAGCUGAUGUGUCUUUGUGUCUUGCUGGUUGAUACCUUUGGCCUACAUAAGCUAAUGUUGUUUGUGUCUAUAGUGUCUAUAGCAGAACUCAGCUGUCUGCAGCAAAACUCCAGUUGCAUCACAUUUGUUUGUGUUUAUCCUCUAAAAAACUUGCCACUGUUGCAGGCCAGCUUUGCCAGAUGCAUCAGUUCAACUGCAAAAAACGAGCAUUAUAUACUGUUGUCAAGUUCGCUCACUUGUUGGAAUGAAAAAACGACUGAAGGUCAAAAGAAAUUGUUCAAGAAGGUCAAAAGUAUGUUUAUAUUUUCUGGAACACCGACACUCUCUUGA
rnacentral:rRNA from 1 species